rnacentral:rRNA from 1 species
UACGUAGGGUGCGAGCGUUAAUCGGAAUUACUGGGCGUAAAGCGUGCGCAGGCGGUUCGUUAAGUCAGGUGUGAAAGCCCCGGGCUCAACCUGGGAACUGCAUUUGAAACUGGCGGGCUUGAGUGUGGCAGAGGGGGGUGGAAUUCCGCGUGUAGCAGUGAAAUGCGUAGAGAUGCGGAGGAACACCGAUGGCGAAGGCAGCCCCCUGGGCCAACACUGACGCUCAGGCACGAAAGCGUGGGGAGCAAACAGG